GACAGAGGGUGCAAACGUUGUUCGGAAUUACUGGGCGUAAAGCGAGUGUAGGCGGUCCGAUAAGUCGGGGUGUGAAAGCCCCUGGGCUCAACCCAGGAAGUGCACUCGAAACUGCCGGGCUAGAGUAUCGGAGAGGUUGGUGGAAUUCUCGGUGUAGAGGUGAAAUUCGUAGAUAUCGAGAGGAACACCGGUGGCGAAGGCGGCCAACUGGACGAAUACUGACGCUGAGUGCGAAAGCCAGGGGAGCGAACGGG
rnacentral:rRNA from 1 species